UUUAAAGAGAGUUUGAUCCUGGCUCAGGACGAACGCUGGCGGCGUGCCUAAUACAUGCAAGUCGAACGAACGGUGGAAGAGCUUGCUCUUCCAAAGUUAGUGGCGGACGGGUGAGUAACACGUGGGCAACCUGCCUGUAAGUUGGGGAUAACUCCGGGAAACCGGGGCUAAUACCGAAUGAUAG
rnacentral:rRNA from 1 species